GCAUUUUCCCCUGCUUGCCUGUACUCCAUCCUGCCACCCUGUGAAGAAGGUUCCUGCUUCUCCUUUACCUUCUGCCAUGACUGUACCAUAGUAGGGACUGGAAAUUCAACGUGAAAAAAAGAAGUUAAAUCUCUGCUGCCUUAAAAUAAUCAGAACGUAAGGAGAAAAUGUUUUCAGCUGGAACUUAAAUAGACCGGCCACAAAUAACCCGUAAUUCUCUAUAAAUGGACUGUCAUGCUGAGAACAGCUUUAUGCCACGCUGAUCCCAGCUCCACAAGAGCCGGCUAAGCUACACUUACCCAGUAG